CAACAUAUUAUGACCAAUUUAGCCUAUGUCUUAUGAACCUAGGAUGUUUACUAUGAUUAAGUGCAUGAUUCAUAUAUAAGAUAUGCUCAUAUAUGCUUGAACACACGGAACCUAUAUUUUGAACAUGUUAAAGGAUGAUUGCUUUCUAUUCUAUAAUGGUAUUAUUCAAAGACACGAUGUGGGCGAAUAGAGAGGUUUGACAUCAUGAAAAAUAAA
rnacentral:lncRNA from 1 species